ensembl:lncRNA
GGGAUUGUGCUGAGGCUGCUCAUGUUUGUGGUGUGUGUUGGAGGAGCAGCAGAGUUCAGAACGCGUACAGGCGCACGAGGCGCCGCUUUCACGAGAUUAAGACGUGAGAGCAACACAGCUAAACCUGCAGUAAGUACUGGAUUUUAUAAUACAUACAGUAUUUUAUUGUUUUUAUCAUUCACUUGUGAGGACAAACCCCAUGCCUGCCAAUCUUUUCCACUACGGACCAAUAUUACUGGCACUACUGAAAAUAUGUUAAAUGAAACCAUGUUUAUUUUAAGAAUAUGGACACUGGUCAGUCCUGCCGAGGAUUUUAGGCUAAUAAUAAUUUUAUAAGGAUAAUGAGUCUUUAUUGGUCACAUAUACGUUAUAGCACUCUGAAAUCCUUUUCUUUGCAUACCCCAGCAUGUUGGGAAGUUGGGGUCAGAGUGCAGGGUCAGCCAAGAUGCAGUGCCCCUGAAGCAGAGAGGGUUGAGGGUCUUGCUCAAGGGCCCAACAGUGGCAGCUUGGCAGUGCAGGGGUUUGAACCACCAACCUUCCGAUCAGUAACCUAGAGCCUUAACCACUAAACCACCACUAUCCCCCCAAUGUAAGCAUAUGGAAUUGUUCUCUUUUUUUCUGAAAAUGCGGAUUUGCUACAUCAUUU